rnacentral:tRNA from 1 species
GAAAACUUAGUUAAAAUAUAACAUUAGCUUGUCAUGCUAAAAUAGUUCAAGGACAGUUUUCU